CAUAGUAUUUCUUUAUAUUCUCAGAAUUGGAUUAUAUAUGCCUUUGAACUAUGCCUUUGAAUAGUCAGAGGAAGCUGAAUCUCUAGAAGUGAGACUGUUCGGCAUCCCUAAAAACACUGGCACUACCUAUGAAUAAGACAGGAAACCACAAGAAAAAGAAUACUUGAAAGACAGCUAGAUACGACUGAAAGGGAGUGACACUACAGGCAAAAGUGCUUUCUGAGUGCCAGCGAUGGUGCUGGGGCGCCGAGAAAAGGACGAUCUGAAUGCAGCGUACUGAUUGGUUUCACGUCCAAGAGCCUCUUAUGCUUUCUGCAUCUUUCAAACUCGGAUGCUUGCCUGGCUUGUGGUACUCUGAAUUGGGCGAGACGAGCAAACCGUGUAUUAGCAGCCAUUGCAGCCUGAAGCUUUGCUUUAUCUCAUCUGGGACUUGUGUUGCACACACAUUGGAGAAGACACAUGCCCAGUGGUGUGGCGGAAUGGGCACUGAAUGGACCCACCCCCCAGCACAGUGCAACUAUAAACUCCAGACAAUCCACAAAGAUCAACAAAGGGAUAUGGAGAGUGAACAAAGGGAUACGCAGGCAGAGGGGAGUUGAACGUCAGAGGAAGGUGUGUAUUUCCCGGCAUCAGCUCUGGCUGGAGGAUGGGACGUGGUCAGAAAGGGUGUGUGACGGACUGAAACUCCAGUGGAAGGUCUGCCGUGUUCUGGCCCAAGGAAGCAGAGGGCGGAGCCUGGGGCGGUCACAGCAGUGAGAAAGUGAGGGAUCGCCCAGAAGAGAGCUGACCUGGGUUCUGUGUUUGAACACUGCACAAGGCAGACUUGGGUUUGGAGUACAGCUGGUUAUCUGCGGGUCACACCCCGAGAACAGGAGGGUCAACUAAGAGUUGUGAGCAUCCAGGGGUCUUGAUGGAGGAGGUGGGGAUUCCAGAAUCAAUUCCCCAAGGAUCCUGAGGGACAGCCUGACUGAGAUCUGCACUGCCACCCACCACAGGUGAGACAGAGCUUGCUGUUUCAAUUGAAUCAAGUCAACUGCCUGUUAAGACAAAGUAUCAACAACGUUGGGAUGAAUACAACAGAACUCAGUCUUGACUGCAAAGCAUUCGCAAUGUCCGGGUUAUAAUCCCAGACUAUUCAAGACAAGAAGAACCAGGAGAAAGUGGCCUGUUGUCAAGAGAGAAGACAAGGAAGUGGAGGAGAAGGAAGGAAGAGAAGAGGAGGAAGGGGAGAUGGAGAAAGAAUACAAACAUUCCAGAGAGCCCUCAGGGAUGUGUGGGACAAUAUCAAAAAGGCUAACAUAUAGAUAGUUGAAGUUCCAGAAGAAGAGGAUAAAAAGAAUGAGAUGGAAAAUAUCUGAAGGAAUAACGACAGAAAAGUUCAUGGAAUCCCAAGUUUAAUGGAAUAUUUAAAUUUACUGAUUCAGUAGGCUUAUGGGAAAUCAUAUGAGAAUGAUUCAGUGGUUAGGACUCUGCGCUUCCACUGCAGCGGGGCAUGAGUUUGAUCCCUGGUUGGGGAAACUUGAUAAACUGGGGGGCUCCUGGGCACAGAGCCUUUCCGUGUCCCCCUUUUCUUUGAUUAUAGGAAACAGCCUUCAUUCAGCCUCCAUGACCUUCCCUGAGUUCCAGUGAGCAGAUUCAGUGAGUCAGUUGGCCAUGUCCGACUCUUUGUGAUCCCAUGGACUGUAGCCCACCAGGCUCCUCUGUCCAUGGGGAUUCUGCAGGCAAGGAUACCUGCCAUUUUCUCCUCCAGGGGAUCUUCACAACCCAGGGAUGAGGCAGAUACAUGCAGUUGUAAAUUAAUGAAGGGAGGGGACGUGAGACCUGGGAGAAACCAAGAGCAGGCUUGGGGCAAGGUCCUAUUUCUCCAUCAGCAGAUGCAAUAUCUUUGAGCUGUUUUGCAAAUACGGAAACUCCCUCCAGAUGGGAGAAGUUAAUGAUGAUAAGCUGCCCACUAGCAUGUAGACCCCAGACCAGUUGGAUCUGAAAGUUGAUGAUGCUGACUCCUACUUACCUCACCACCAACCCAUCAGAAGAAUGUCCACAAGCUGACCAUGCCCUCUUUGAAAAGUUACUAUAAAACUUCUCGCUAUCUUCCCCAAGUUGGGACACAUGAUUUGAGGGCAUGAGCCCGUUGUGCCCACUUUGCCUGGCAAAGCAAUAAAGCUAUCCUUUCCUGCUUCA
ensembl:lncRNA